rnacentral:rRNA from 1 species
AUUGAACGCUGGCGGCAUGCCUUACACAUGCAAGUCGAACGGCAGCACGGGUGCUUGCACCUGGUGGCGAGUGGCGAACGGGUGAGUAAUACAUCGGAACGUACCUUAUCGUGGGGGAUAACGCAGCGAAAGCUGUGCUAAUACCGCAUACGCCCUGAGGGGGAAAGCGGGGGAUCGCAAGACCUCGCGCGAUUAGAGCGGCCGAUGCCUGAUUAGCUUGUUGGUGGGGUAAAAGCCCACCAAGGCGACGAUCAGUAGCUGGUCUGAGAGGACGAUCAGCCACACUGGGACUGAGAAACGGCCCAGACUCCUCCGGGAGGCAGCAGUGGGGAAUUUUGGACAAUGGGGGCAACCCUGAUCCAGCAAUGCCGCGUGAGUGAAGAAGGCCUUCGGGUUGUAAAGCUCUUUUGUCAGGGAAGAAACACCGGCUCUAACACAGUCCGGGAAUGACGGUACCUGAAGAAUAAGCACCGGCUAACUACGUGCCAGCCGCCGCGUAA